rnacentral:lncRNA from 10 species
GGUACCGAGUGAGACCCAGCUGACCUGGAAAAUGACAGGGACACUUUUUAUCCUUCCAACUUAACCUUUCCGUCCUGACUUAACCUUUCCCUCUUUGACACAAAUGAAGAAAUUAGGGCUCUUGACUGCUACUGAUUUAAGGGGAUUACAGAGGCACUGCCAGCGAGCAUGAGCACAAGAGUUUAGCGCCUCUCGGCAGCUGAGAGAGGAUGCUGCAUACUUGGGGCCUGGGACCUCCGAGAAGACCUUCUUCAGCCGAAAGCACACCUUAUUCUUGUCCCAGUUGAAGGCUUCCCAACGGUCUUCAUGUGGCACUUGCUGUGUGCCAGGCCCCACUCUGGGCACUUGGUUUAUUUAAUUCUAACCAUGGUCCUAGGUGAUGGGCGCUGGUAUGACUGUGGGAAAGGGACAAGGUGGGAGAUGUGAACGAACUUCCGGAGCCCUCCCUCGGGCAGCCUAGCUCCCCGCCUCCUCCAACACCUUCUGUUGCUUUUCCAGCACAGCCAGUACUGGGCUCUUGGGUUCGAGCACGGGGCGGGGUGAAGGGUGCUGGGAGGUCACAUUCUUGCUUCCCAGCACUGAAGACUGGAAGAAUGAAUGGCACAGAUGAACAAGGCCGUCCUGCAUCCGCCGCUCACUAGAGGCUUCACAGCUGCGUAGGGACACAGGACAUCUGUACAAUAAAUACCAAUGGUAUUAGUGCCCUAGGGCUGCAGGAACAAAGCACCACAGACUGGGGGUGCUGGAACAGCAGAAACUCAGGCUCUCCCAUUUCUGGAUGCCGGAAGUCCAAAAUCUAGUGUCGGCAGGGCUGUGUCCUCUCUGAGGUUUCCAGGGGAGGAGGCUUCCUUGCUUCUCUGGCUUCUGGUGGUGGCUGGCAAUGCUCGGCAUUCCUUGGCUUAUGGACGCAGCACUGAAAUUGCAGCCCUUAUCUUCAUGUGGCCUUCCUUGUGGCGCUCUGUGUCCAAAUGUCCCUCUCCUCUAAGGACACCAGUCAUCGGAUUAGGCCAGCUCUAAUCCGGUGUGCCUCAUCUUGAUUUAACUAACUACAUCUGCAAAGACACUAUUUCCAGAUUACGUCACGUUCCGAGGUUCCUGGUGGACGUGAAUUUUUGGAAGACGCUGUCCAACCUGGGACACCAGCCAGCCCCUCUCUGGCUCCCUCAGUCCCUCCACCCUUCGGAAGUGGUAAAUGGUGGCUUGCUAACAGCGCCUGUAGCAGCCACCUCCUGGUGAUGGCAAAGGAAGGGCCCUCUCAGUCAUAGGGGCCAAUGGCGAGGAGGACCUGGGACGUGGUGCACUGAGCAUUUUCCCUUCUCAGCAGCUCACUCCUUUGUGUGUCUGUGAUGCGAAGGCUGUGACAUCAGUCAGCCUCAUGGAGAACUGGAACAACGGGCUCUGUGUCUUUGGAGAACGCGUCAAGACCAGGGCCUCUUCCCCUGCUCCCAUGGUUCCCAGCGUUCUUGUCUCCUGAGAGAGGAUGUAGUGGGUGUCAUGUUCAGCAUCGCAACUGGCCUCCGUGGAAACCAGGGUGGAGCUCAGACGGGUGUGGGGGGAGCAUGUGACUGAGCUCCUUCCCACUCUCUCUCCGGCACACACGGAGUCAGUGUAGGGAGGUGAUGGGUAAGGGCUUGAGUUUUGGGGUUGCACAGCUUGUGGGGACCCCACCUCAUUUCCUAGCUAGGCAGACCUGGCCCAGUGUCUGACCUUUCCCAUCUGUAAAUUAGGGGUGCAAAUAGCAUCCACCUCCGGGGUGUGGUGAAGGUGGAGCCAGUACCCAGCCAGUCCAGCUCUUUUUUGUUAGGAUUGCCCCACUGCGGCCACACCCUUCCAUCUGCCCGCUCCUGUUCCCGCAGGUAGACUCAGCCUGUGGGAUUCUGGCCUGGCUUCCCGGCAGCAAGCAGGAGCUUCAGAUGCUCAUUCCCGCCGCGGUCGGCUGUGGCGGCGACUCAUACCCGUUUCCGCUCGAAUGAUGCCAGCUGUCCUGCUGCGCCACCUUCCUCUGUCCUCGCAUCCGCUGAUGGGAUUUCCGGUCGCUUCCACUUUGUGGCUCUUUUGAAGAAUGCCGCUAGGAACAUUCACACGCAGGUUUUUGGUUCUUGGCCAUAAAAUAUGGCUUUUGGAAAAAUAAAGCUGAGACUUGGAGUUCACGGUGGGGGCUCCCCCAUCUGUGAACAGAAGCAGAAGUUUGGAACUGCCUUCUUUACUGCUCGAGAGGGAAAACUUGAGUGAAAACCAGGAUGCUGGCGAAUGUUGAGUAGCUAAGCUGCACAGGAAAUACCACUUGAUGACCUGCGAUCUGGGGAAGCCGCGCCAGGGCUCUGCGAAGCUGCGGACGAGGGAGGCGUCAGUGUGGGGGCUGCAGCUCAGCUCCGGGGGGGACGCGCCUUUCUCCACGGGACCUGGGGCUCAGGUGCUCACGAGGCUGGGGCGCUGCAGGCCACCCGCAGGGGAAACUGAGGCCCUCCAUUUUGUGGGGCUGGAAGACCUUUCCUUCCAAAAGCAGGUGUAGGCGGGAGCACCUGUGCAGUCCCUCUGUUCAGAUCCUCACCCACUUUUAAAUCAGGAAACAGCAGAUGAAAUGCACAGUGUGAAGGACAAGGAUUCUGCUGAGAGAAUUGCUCCGAGGGUUGCUCAAGUGAUCAUGGGAAAUAAUGCAUCAAACCAUUCUUUAGAUGCAGCUCAGGUGUGCCUUUUCUUCGCCUGUGCCCAUCCACCUGAGAUGGACCAUAACCAUAAAAGUCAGAAGGCACUGACCCUUCAGGACGUGACAGGGUUAAAAGAUGCUGGAGGGAAAGUCUGUCAUUGACUUUUAUUCACUUCCUUUCUCCAUUCUGCCAUUUGGAAGAAGGUAAGCAACUUAACACUAUUUUAGACCAUAUGUUGUAAACUAGCAGGAAAAUGCCUUUGAGCUGAUGAUGGUGGCCCGAACACAGUGAACCUGUCUUAAAUCCCUGCUUUAAACCCUUAAGGGUGUCACUUACAAGAGAUACUAUUUGAAGUCUUCCCAUGCAUGUGUAGGGUGGGGGGAGUACCAACAGCUCAUCGAAUGGGCUCCAUUUGAAAGAUCUGGAUGGUUGCCUUUAUUUGUAACUAGUUUCUUUUCUUUUUUUUUUUUUCCUUGAGAUGGAGUCUUGCUCUAUCACUGGGCUGGAGUGCAGUGGCG